rnacentral:rRNA from 1 species
GACGAACGCUGGCGGCGUGCCUAAUACAUGCAAGUCGAACGAACCGCGACUAGGUGCUUGCACUUGGUCAAGGUGAGUGGCGAACGGGUGAGUAACACGUGGGUAACCUACCUCAUAGUGGGGGAUAACAGUCGGAAACGACUGCUAAUACCGCAUAGGACAUGGGAUCACAUGAUUCUGUGAGGAAAGGUGGCGCAAGCUAUCGCUAAGAGAUGGACCCGCGGUGCAUUAGCUAGUUGGUAGGGUAACGGCCUACCAAGGCGAUGAUGCAUAGCCGACUUGGGAGGGUGUUCGCCCACAGUGGGCGUGGGCCACGGCCUAACCUCUACGGGAGGCAGCAGUAGGGAAUCUUCCGCAAUGGACGCAAGUCUGACGGAGCAACGCCGCGUGAGUGAAGAAGGUCUUCGGAUCGUAAAGCUCUGUUGUUAGAGAAGAACAGCGCAUAGAGUAACUGUUAUGCGUGUGACGGUAUCUAACCAGAAAGCCACGGCUAACUACGUG